GCAAAUUCCACUCGCCCGUCACACCAUAUUGCCUAUGGCACUACAGCACAAAGUUCAUCUAUGGUCCAGUGAUACCGUCAAUUAUGGGGCUCAUCAUUUGAGCAGAUAACAGGUCUUCCCUUUUCUUUCCCACUUCUUUUUAACAUCCGAACUCCAUCCAAAAGAUUACAGGCACCUCUGAGAUCUACGGUGCAAAUGAGCUCGGCUGAGCAAAGUACACAAAACACUCAGGGGCAUACCUACAAAAACUCUUCGACAAAGGAAUCUGAUGCAGUGCUAUAAUUCUUUUC
rnacentral:lncRNA from 1 species